rnacentral:misc_RNA from 1 species
GAAUGCCUCUCCACAUCCUCACUGAGAUAACAAAACUCACAACCAAUCAAUAAUAAAUUAUUCAAAUCGGACAAUGAAUCCUAGGAUACAUAAUGAGCACAAGAGAGCAUUUUUUUGGGAGGCAAGGGGAGGACACUGAAAAUGGUAUGAUCCCCUUUUUUUUUUAAUUAUUAAAUGUGAACGUGGAAAAAAAAUAGUUUAUAAAGUACCAUAAAAAUAAAUAAAUAAAUAAAU